UCAGUGCGAGUUAUCAUUUCGACUGUGAAUGUUCAACAUAUAUUUACGGAUCGAAAAUGAAUUUAAUUCUUUUAAUAUUUGUAUUGAUACUGGGACUGACAAAUUCCAUGGAAGACUGUAUGAUUGAAGAGGACGACGAAUGCGGAGAGUAUUGUUAUAAAAUGGCAAGGCCCCUUCUUGGAUAUUUGCCUCAAUUGCAGAAGGAGUUGCAGGAGUGCAGAAAGCGAACUCGGGAAAAUCUUAUAAUCCAAGGAAAGAAAUUCGUGGAGCAACACUUGAAAGGCUUGAGGCUGGACGGGCUAAAAAAAUUAGUGGCGGAACCGAACAUCCUUAAAAGUAUGGUUGGAUUGGAUCCAUGGAUGACCGCCUGCCUAAAGCCACCGUUAACAACAAAAUUUUGCGAAAAUAUUAAUGGGAAACACUAUUUUGUUGACUAUCUCGUACUAGGUACUUGGAAGGAAGGUGACAGUUUUUGUCACAACAUGGGUGGACAUCUGGUCAGUUUAAAAAGUGAAGAAGAGUGGAAUGCUCUUCGUUAUAAUUUAAACAUGCGUUACUCAUAUUGGACAGAUAUUGUUAGAUCCAAUGAUAAGUUUAUCUCACAUACUACUGGAAAGCCUGAUUGCUUUACAAAGUUUGCAAAAGGUGAGCCGAAUAAUUUGGGUGGAAAUGAAAAUUGUGUUCAGUUUUGGAAGUGGGGAGUUAAACCCUUCCAUAUGAAUGACAUUUAUUGUAAUCAAAAAAAUCAUUUUAUUUGUGAACGUUAUUAAUAAAAAAAUGUAUGACUAUUUAUAAAAAACGUUUAAGUUUUUAAACACUUAAGAUUCUUAUAUCGAAAUAAAUUCAUAGCGAUCAUUUAUGCAGAA